GAAAUUCUAGUUAAUAUAUAACAUUAACUUGUCAAGCUAAAAUUACCUUACAGGUGAAUUUCU
rnacentral:tRNA from 1 species